rnacentral:lncRNA from 10 species
CUCUCAGACACCACAGUCCAGGAGAGUCUGACAAGGUGGCUUUAUUCCUGAAACUCAGGGACCUGAUCCAACGCGCUGGAAAUUGUGUUUCUUUUCCCAGCUCAGGCUAUUCACCUCAGGCCCCUGUUUUCCUGUCUCCUCCCCAGGAAGGUUGUGAUAAAAAUCAAUGACAUCAUGUCUCACUGGGCCCCAGCCACCCUUCAGGAAGCAGGUGCUUUGGCUGAGUGGAGGCUGGGGCAUUUUUCUGCUGCGCUGGCCUGCAUCUGCCUUUCGAGUAGCCCUAGAGGCCUAACGCUUGAGGUCACCUUCAUGGUUUUUCCAGUGACCUUGGCCAUUAAUGAGCUCCCACCGCUUCCCCAGCUGCAGCUGUAUUAUAGCGCCAGAGUCUUCCAAGCCUGCAGGUUGUGCCAAGCCUGGAGGGAUUUGCAAAAGAAACAUUUGCCUACACCAAGAUCAUGAAGAUGUUUUCUUCUAGAGGAUUUCUAGUUUUAGCUCUUUAUGUUUAAAUUGAGGGAAACUAAAUGUAUGGCCUUAAGGAGCUGUUCCAGCCUGAGACUAUACACCAGCAGAAAGAAACUCACAGCACUGAAAAUAUUGUUCUCCGCCCUCCCUCAUCCCUCUUCCUUCUGAAUGGGAAAAAAGAGUAAGAAGCUUUUCCCUCCAGCUGAAAGCAAAGGAGUACUCUAGCCCUCUGUGAUAGCUGAUGGCAGCAUCUUUGGUGGCUCUCCCAGAGAGGCUGCUCUCUUUGCUGGAAUUUGCCUUGUUCUCUCCUCACUGCUGAAGCACUGUCACUGCGUCCUAAAAAAACACCACAGUAUCCGUAAGACGUUGCCUGUCAUUGGAGGUUUGCUCCUUCUCUCUAUCUCAGACAGGAUUCAAUGAAGAAAACAGAAGCCACUCAGCGCAAGAACAGACUCAUACAGGAUCACUGCAUGUGGAAUCAGGUAAGACAAGGUCAUACUGGAGUAGGAAAGGGGUUAAUCCAAUAUGACUGGUGUCCUUAAAAAAUGGGAAAUUCAUCGAGGGCAGAUUGGAUAAAGGAAAUGUUGUACAUAUACACUAUGGAAUACUUCACAGCUAUAAAAAAGGAGAAGAUUAUGUCCUUUGCAGGUACAGGAAUGGAGCUAGAGGUCAUCAUCCUUAGCAAACUAAUGCAGGAACAGAAAACCAAAUGCCACAUGUUCUCACUUAUAAGUUGAAGGUAAAUAAUGAGAACACGUGGACACAUAGAGGGGAAUAGCACACACUGGGGCCUACUUGAGGGUAGAAGGUGGGAGGAAGGAGAGGAUCAGAAAAAACGAUUGGUUACUAGGCUUACUACCUGGUUGAUGAAAUAAUCUGUACAGCAAACCCCAGUAUCAAGAGUUUACCUAUAUAACAAAACUGCACAUGUACCCCUGAACCUAAAAUAAAAGCUUUUUAUAAAAAGAAAAGAAAAAGGGCUGGGCAUGAUGGCUCACACCUGUAAUCCCAGGACUUUAGGACACCCAGGUGGGUGGACUGCUAAGCUCAGGAGUUCAAGACCAGCCUAGGCAACAUUGCGAAACCCCGUCUCUACAAAAAUUAGCCAGGCAUGGUGGCAUGUACCUGAAGUCCCAUCUACUUGCAGGGCUGAGGCCAGAGGAUCGCUUGAACCCAGGAGGUGGAGAUUGUAGUGAGUUGUAUUUGUGCCACUGCACUCCAGCCUCGUUGACAGAGCAAGGGCAAGACCUUUUCUUUAAAAAAAAAAAAAGAAAGAAAGAAAAGAAAAAGAAAAGACAAGAAAAGAAAAGAAAAGGAUAUAAUCAGCCAAAUUCAAAAUGUGUGAAAUGCUACAAGCUUCCAGGACUGUGAAACAAGACAUUUCUUUGGUUCAAGCCACUCCCUUAGUGCACAUUGUUAUGGCAGCCAUGGAAAACCAUCCACAGAGGCCCUGGGCCCAGCUGCUGCAGGUGGCCAGGAAGGAGCCUGGGAGGAUGACGGGGUUCCUGAUCUGAUAGAACUGGGCUGUGACUAGGCAGAACCCUGUUCCACCACACACACCCCAGUGGAGGACGUUCUGUAUCUGUGAUGAAUGACCCCUGCAUACAUUAUAUCUUUCAGUAAAAACAGUGGUGUUUCAGUAGUGUUACUAGCUAAGCUGCUUAACUCUCACAUUACAGACGUCAGUGAAGCCCCUUGGUAGGUAGUGUCUAAAAUUAGAUUUAUCUGCUUAUUUACACAAUUAUACUCUCAUGAGUUUGAAUGUUGGGGAAAGAUCAAGAAAAAGACCAGAUCACUAGAUGGCAAUAGCACACAAGAGCUUUAUUUGGAUGAAGCUUGGACAGAAUGCAUGGAAGGGGAAAGUCCCUUGCAGCAGAAGACCUUCCAGAGGCAGUGGCAGGGCCACCACCAGAAGAAAAGGGCAAGGACACUCCCAGGGGAGAGGAGGAUCAGAGAGGAGGUUACAGGUCUAAGAGAUGUCACAGGUCUAGAAGAAAAGAAAAGGAGCCAGGUGCAGUGGCUCACACCUGUAAUCCCAGCACUUUGGGAGGCCCAGGCGGGCAGAUUGCUGAGUUCAGGAGUUUGAGACCAGCCUAGGCAAACAUGGUGAAACCCCAUCUCUAAAAAAAGAUUUAAAAAUUAACCAGGCCUGGUGGCAUGUACCUGAAGUCUCAUUUACUUGGGGGGCUAAGGCUGGAGGAUCGUUUGAACCCAAGAGGGUUCAUGGUGGGGAGCAUCAUGGUGAGGAGUCUCUGGGUCAGAGAGCUCCAAAGGACAGCAGCCAUUUGGGGUCUUUUGUAGCCCUGAGGUUCGUCUUACCUAUGGUGAGAGGGUGUCGGGUGUAGUUUUGCAAAUUAUCGAAGCAGGCAGGCUCUAAAUGGGCAAAUAAUAUUUGGCCUACAUUUAAAGCAAUUGGAUGUGCAAGAAUUUGAGUUUGGUGCUGGCAGGCUUGAGUUAACGGUCCUGGGCUGUGGUGUGGAAGUAAACAGCAUGGGGGCCAAUACACAGGGGCUGUCUUGAACUCGUUCAUACAAUCCAUUUAUAACCUGUUUAUAACUUGUUUAUAACCCAUUUAUACCACAUACCCCUAAAGCAAAUACCUAGCAGAUAGCAUGCAGGGCCUAUUUGCCUGGCCUCCUUCAAUGGCAUCACAUUCUCCACCACCACGAUGGUUAAUAUGGACGAGCCCUAGCAGCUGCCCAGUGAAGUCCACACGCUACUGCCCAAACCAGCUCAAGUCCUUAGUUGUCAUGAAAAUAAUGUGAGUUCCCACAGCCGUAAAAGGGAAAGCAGCAAGAGCCACAUGAGCAUCCCCGGAACCCUGGGAACAGUCAUCAGUGUCAUCUUCAGGGUCAUGUCCCUACAAGCAGUUCUCAGGCUCCUGCUGAGGGUCAGAACAGAGCCGAAGUCACAGGAUAUCAAAAAUGGAUAAGCCCAACCUCAGCUCGCAGAGGAAUUGCUCAGCUGACAGAUGAUUGUGUUAUCUCAGUGAAGCCAGAUGACAAUGUACUUGGCCAACGGAACAUCUUGGUCAAUGGAUCUCCAAGUUGGUUAUAAAAUUAAAGCAAAAUAAUGCCAUUAUAUGUAAGAUGUCAUUGAUUGUAAGAUGCUCCUUUAUUUGAUGUACCACUAAUAAAUAAAAACACUGACAUUUAAACAAUGACAAUUGCAUAACACAUCUGCUUGUUCAAUGUUAAAUAUGAAAAAAUGUGC